rnacentral:lncRNA from 1 species
GGGUGUGGGUAGUACAUUACUUUAUAAGUUAACAAUUGCCACUGAAGACAACCCUCUAUAGUUCUAAUAUUAAAAACAUCUUACAAACUUCUUCUCUAUUUUUUUUUUGCAAGUCCAAACAUAUUAAAAACUUAUGUCAUGCUGUUGUUUUAGUCACUAACCAUUGCCCCAAUAUUUGUGCAACCACAUUGCCAGAACAACAACCCUCUAAUGGUUCUAAAUUCUAAUAUUAAAAAAUCUUACGAACAUUCAUUUUUUUUUGACGAGUCCAAACAUAUUAAAAAUUUGUGUCAUGCUGCUGUUUUAGUCACUAACUAUUGCCCCAAUAUUUGCGCAACC